rnacentral:misc_RNA from 1 species
UAGGGCUUUGAUGGUGAAAUGUGGGGCCAACUAAUCUUUUUUUAUCAUGGAUUUUGAUUCUGUGGUUAUCAGUAAAUAGACAAACUAGAAUUUUGAUAAUUUUAAUUCCGUCUCCAAAGGAUAUCUGUUCCCGCUUCUGAUCGCUCCUAUAAUAGAAUGUAGCAAUGCUAAAAAUGAGGAUAUCCUUUGAAUGGGGUCACGUUUUGAGCUUGUUCUUCAUCUAUCUACUCUCCACAAAUUGCAAGCAUAGAAGG